rnacentral:lncRNA from 1 species
CGAUCUCUAUAGUUAGUAUUUGCAUUGCAUGUCAUUGAUUGGGCGGUUCGAUUUCAACUCCGUAAAAGAAGGAAUCUAAAAAUAUCAAAAAGCGUUCCUGUCAAUAUCUCAGCGCCAACUUGUUCUACAACAUCAAGUAAUCAAAUCAAGAAGUAUCCGUUGUUCUCAACCCAAAUCUGGUUUGAAGAGUGGGCAUCAACCCUUUGGUUGCGUAGCUUCUGUUAUUUUCUUGACGGCAAAGCUGAGAGAUCAUGUUGUUUUCAGAAAUGAACACAUCAAUUUUUUUUUAUUUUUUUUUUGGGAUAAUUAUAUCAUUUCAUUAUAGUAAUUCAAC